UGAAGCGGCAAGAGCUCAAAUUUGAAAGCUGGCCCCUUCGGGGUCCGCGUUGUAAUUUGCAGAGGAUGCUUCGGGUGCGGCCCCUGUCUAAGUGCCCUGGAACGGGCCGUCAGAGAGGGUGAGAAUCCCGUCUUGGGCAGGGUGCCCGUGCCCGUGUGAAGCUCCUUCGACGAGUCGAGUUGUUUGGGAAUGCAGCUCUAAAUGGGUGGUAAAUUUCAUCUAAAGCUAAAUACCGGCCGGAGACCGAUAGCGCACAAGUAGAGUGAUCGAAAGAUGAAAAGCACUUUGAAAAGAGAGUUAAACAGCACGUGAAAUUGUUGAAAGGGAAGCGCUUGCGACCAGACUCGGCCCCGGGGUUCAGCCAGCACUCGUGCUGGUGUACUUCCCCGGGGGCGGGCCAGCGUCGGUUUGGGCGGCCGGUCAAAGGCCCCAGGAAUGUAUCGCCCUCCGGGGUUGUCUUAUAGCCUGGGGUGCAAUGCGGCCAGCCCGGACCGAGGAACGCGCUUCGGCACGGAC
rnacentral:rRNA from 1 species